CGUAGGUAGGCAGUAGUCGUAGCAGAGCCAGAGGAGAGCUGAGUAGCAGCGAUGGACUUGGUCGCUCUCAUCCAACGUGGCGACCACGUGUGCGAGACCGGCAAAGUGCGUCGAGCGCUCAGCCCCCGCUGCUGAUCGCAGGGUGAAGACGAAGAUAGAAGAAAAAUGAGCAGCAGAGGGAGGGGGAGAGGGAGAGAGACUCGUGUUGCCCACCGGCUCGAUCGGGGCCACGUGACUCUCUCGUAGCGAGCAUGAAUGAAGUCCGCGAGUCCCGGGACUCUCGCGAUGGAGGAGAGCCUGCAAACGUACCGUUUUCGUACAUUCACUCAGUCGGCUUCCAGCAGGCUAAGUACGAUUAAAAUAGUGCAGUAAACUCGAACCGGAAUACGCUGAAAAUGGGAACCACUAACGAGGGUUACUGCAGUAGCGGGAUUAGCAAUUUUCGUACUUGUGCAUGAAACGUGUCUUCGGUCCGGAUGAAUAUUUUUUGGAAAUUUUUCGAGGGAAAUGAGGAAAAAUAUCGACCAUUUUGGACGAACAUUGCGGAAUUGGAUGUUGAGAACGUGAAACGAUAUUCCACGACAGUCGGAUGUUUCGAUCAACGGCCAUGUGAUCACAAACACAAAGCCCCCGGGGCCCACAGACGACAGAGCUGUCAGAGUGUUUGCCCAGAGACUCUUCCAAGUUCCUUGGUACACGAUAAAAUGUAUUGAAAGUUAAAGACAACAGGGAAAAAUGAAAAGAUUCGUUUUGCCCGUAGAUCAUCAGAAAAAUGUUUUUUUUUUAAAUAAAAACGUCCAGGAGGUACUAAAAUUCGUUGAAUCGACCAAUCGAGUAGAUAAUUUUUUGUCUGCUCAUCUUUUUCAAAAACAACGAGAACAACGGUUUGUUUUAUUCCAUAAAUUUGUAAUGAGUUGAAAAAAAAAACGUAAAAAAGUUAAACUUAUCAGCGAGUAUACGAAAUAUGAUGGAAUACGCGUUGACGUACCGGAGAUAAAUUUGCUUGAGUCCGACACCACUGUUUACACAGCCGCCAGGCAGGUGAAAUUGUUCGCACAAUGCCGACCAUUCGUUUCUCGUGUUUACCUGUAACAAAAUAAUGUAUAUGAAUAAAACUGAUA